UAAAAAUUAUUGUUUCUUCUUUUUUUAUUUUUGUUUUGUUUUUGGCAAACUUCUUGUGCAAAUUAUUUCAUGUUCGAUGAUGGAAAAGAAAAUCCACGUGGAUUUUGCGGACGUCGUUUAUAAAUAACACUGCUGCUGAUGUUGUUGUUGUUUUUCUUUUGUUUUUUCUUAACUGAAAUUUAGGUUGCGCUUUGCUUGGACGGUACGAUGAUAGAACCCGAAACAGCAACAACGUCGUCGCAUUCGCUAGCGCCUCUGACAAGCAACAAUAACAACGAAUAACGAAAUGAAAAACACACAAUACCGAAUUAAACAUAACCUUAUUUUUUCCUCCGUUCAAUGUAUAUUAAUUACAUUAUUUACAAAAGGCUCAGCACAACAGCAGGCAGACAGGCAAGCAAAGCAAGCAAGUAGCAGUCGGUCGUUGUGUUCUUUACUAACGACGACGACGACAACUGGCUCUGUACACCACCAACAAUCACCACAUACACGCACUUACACACACUUGUAGUUAUAGCUGCUGCUGAGAAUAAAAACAAGAAAGGCAAAAAAAUAAUGUCUGCACCGCGCACUGUUUCGUACAAAUCAACCAAUCGACCAACCAGCCGCACGUACUCACACAAUCUCUUUUAAUAAUAACAAGACGACGAAGAAGAAGCAGCAGCA